rnacentral:rRNA from 1 species
AGCGCAUACGGUGGAUGCCUUGGCAGUCAGAGGCGAUGAAAGACGUGGUAGCCUGCGAAAAGCUUCGGGGAGUCGGCAAACAGACUUUGAUCCGGAGAUCUCUGAAUGGGGGAACCCACCUAGGAUAACCUAGGUAUCUUGUACUGAAUCCAUAGGUGCAAGAGGCGAACCAGGGGAACUGAAACAUCUAAGUACCCUGAGGAAAAGAAAUCAACCGAGAUUCCCUUAGUAGUGGCGAGCGAACGGGGAUUAGCCCUUAAGCUUCAUUGAUUUUAGCGGAACGCUCUGGAAAGUGCGGCCAUAGUGGGUGAUAGCCCCGUACGCGAAAGGAUCUUUGAAGUGAAAUCGAGUAGGACGGAGCACGAGAAACUUUGUCUGAACAUGGGGGGACCAUCCUCCAAGGCUAAAUACUACUGACUGACCGAUAGUGAACCAGUACCGUGAGGGAAAGGCGAAAAGAACCCCGGAGAGGGGAGUGAAAUAGAACCUGAAACCGUAUGCGUACAAGCAGUGGGAGCCUACUUGUUAGGUGACUGCGUACCUUUUGUAUAAUGGGUCAGCGACUUAUAUUCAGUGGCGAGCUUAACCGUAUAGGGUAGGCGUAGCGAAAGCGAGUCUUAAUAGGGCGUUUAGUCGCUGGGUAUAGACCCGAAACCGGGCGAUCUAUCCAUGAGCAGGUUGAAGGUUAGGUAACACUGACUGGAGGACCGAACCCACUCCCGUUGAAAAGGUAGGGGAUGACUUGUGGAUCGGAGUGAAAGGCUAAUCAAGCUCGGAGAUAGCUGGUUCUCCUCGAAAGCUAUUUAGGUAGCGCCUCAUGUAUCACUCUGGGGGGUAGAGCACUGUUUCGGCUAGGGGGUCAUCCCGACUUACCAAACCGAUGCAAACUCCGAAUACCCAGAAGUGCCGAGCAUGGGAGACACACGGCGGGUGCUAACGUCCGUCGUGAAAAGGGAAACAACCCAGACCGCCAGCUAAGGUCCCAAAGUUGUGGUUAAGUGGUAAACGAUGUGGGAAGGCUUAGACAGCUAGGAGGUUGGCUUAGAAGCAGCCAUCCUUUAAAGAAAGCGUAAUAGCUCACUAGUCGAGUCGGCCUGCGCGGAAGAUGUAACGGGGCUCAAACCACACACCGAAGCUGCGGGUGUCACGUAAGUGACGCGGUAGAGGAGCGUUCUGUAAGCCUGUGAAGGUGAGUUGAGAAGCUUGCUGGAGGUAUCAGAAGUGCGAAUGCUGACAUGAGUAACGACAAUGGGUGUGAAAAACAUCCACGCCGAAAGACCAAGGGUUCCUGCGCAACGUUAAUCGACGCAGGGUUAGUCGGUUCCUAAGGCGAGGCUGAAAAGCGUAGUCGAUGGGAAACAGGUUAAUAUUCCUGUACUUCUGGUUACUGCGAUGGAGGGACGGAGAAGGCUAGGCCAGCUUGGCGUUGGUUGUCCAAGUUUAAGGUGGUAGGCUGAAAUCUUAGGUAAAUCCGGGGUUUCAAGGCCGAGAGCUGAUGACGAGUCGUCUUUUAGAUGACGAAGUGGUUGAUGCCAUGCUUCCAAGAAAAGCUUCUAAGCUUCAGGUAACCAGGAACCGUACCCCAAACCGACACAGGUGGUCGGGUAGAGAAUACCAAGGCGCUUGAGAGAACUCGGGUGAAGGAACUAGGCAAAAUGGCACCGUAACUUCGGGAGAAGGUGCGCCGGCUAGGGUGAAGGAUUUACUCCGUAAGCUCUGGCUGGUCGAAGAUACCAGGCCGCUGCGACUGUUUAUUAAAAACACAGCACUCUGCAAACACGAAAGUGGACGUAUAGGGUGUGACGCCUGCCCGGUGCCGGAAGGUUAAUUGAUGGGGUUAGCGCAAGCGAAGCUCUUGAUCGAAGCCCCGGUAAACGGCGGCCGUAACUAUAACGGUCCUAAGGUAGCGAAAUUCCUUGUCGGGUAAGUUCCGACCUGCACGAAUGGCGUAACGAUGGCGGCGCUGUCUCCACCCGAGACUCAGUGAAAUUGAAAUCGCUGUGAAGAUGCAGUGUAUCCGCGGCUAGACGGAAAGACCCCGUGAACCUUUACUGUAGCUUUGCACUGGACUUUGAGCCUGCUUGUGUAGGAUAGGUGGGAGGCUUUGAAGCGUGGACGCCAGUUCGCGUGGAGCCAUCCUUGAAAUACCACCCUGGCAUGCUUGAGGUUCUAACUCUGGUCCGUAAUCCGGAUCGAGGACAGUGUAUGGUGGGCAGUUUGACUGGGGCGGUCUCCUCCUAA